GACGAACGCUGGCGGCGUGCUUAACACAUGCAAGUCGAACGGUGAAGCGCCUUCCUUUUUGGUGGGUGUGGAUGAGUGGCGAACGGGUGAGUAACACGUGAGUAACCUGCCCCCUUCUUCUGGAUAACCGCAUGAAAGUGUGGCUAAUACGGGAUAUUCUGGGUCUGUCGCAUGAUGGGUCUGGGAAAGAUAUUGUUUCGGUUGGGGAUGGGCUCGCGGCCUAUCAGCUUGUUGGUGGGGUGAUGGCCUACCAAGGCGGUGACGGGUAGCCGGCCUGGGAGGGUGGACGGUAACACAGGGAAUGAGACACGGCCAAGACUCAUACGGGAGGCAGCAGUGGGGAAUAUUGCACAAUGGGCGCAAGCCUGAUGCAGCGACGCCGCGUGAGGGAAGGAGGCCUUCGGGUUGUGAACCUCUUUCGCCAGUGAAGCAGGCCUGCCUCGUUUGUGGGUGGGUUGACGGUAGCUGGAUAAGAAGCGCCGGCUAACUACGUG
rnacentral:rRNA from 1 species